rnacentral:rRNA from 1 species
CGGAUUGUAGUCUGCAACCCGACUACAUGAAGCUGGAAUCGCUAGUAAUCGCGGAUCAGAAUGCCGCGGUGAAUACGCUCCCGGGUCUUGUACACACCGCCCGUCACACCAUGGGAGUCGGAAAUGCCCGAAGUCUGUGACCCAACCUUAGGGAGGGAGCAGCCGAAGGCAGGUCGGAUGACUGGGGUGAAGUCGUAACAAGGUAUC